AAGAAUAUAGCUGAAAAAGGAAGUAUGGAAUUUAUCUGUACUACCACAGAGAAAUCUUUAGGAUCUAUUACUAAGUAAAAAAAGCUGAAAUUUUUAUAAGUUAUAAAAGAAAUAUGCAAUCUA